rnacentral:lncRNA from 1 species
AUAAAGAUUAACCAUACAGUGUCUCGAAAUAUCAAUCUGUUAUUUGUACUCGGCUCGAAACGGGCAGAAAUGCUCAGCACAGCCUCGCUUUCUACCUGUUUCUAAGUCUUGUACAAAUAACAUUGAUAUUUCGAGACAAUGUAUGGUUAUUAUAUUUAUAUCACCCUUGUUUGAAAUUUGAUAUUAUAUUGAUACACAGAGUCGGGGUUGCCAUGGUUACCAUACAUCAUCAAAUAAGGCUUCUACAAGAGUACUUCAAUUAGUGAAAUUACCGUUUGCUUUGCAUAUAAAUAAACUCAUCAUAGAUACCAGGACUAAAUUUAGUAUAUAUGCCAGACGCGCGUUUCGUCUGCAAAUUACUCAUCAGUGACGCUCAUAUCCAAAAAAGUUAAAAAUGCCGGAAAAAAAAAGCAGGACCGGAUAGAUUAUAAAAUUAAAAGGCAGGACAGAGAUAACAACUAAAAAAAUAUGCAGGACAACAUUUUUCAUCCUAGCCCUCCAUAAAAAUCAAAUGGUAGCUCCCUGAAAACCAAAAUUCCUAAAAGUUUUGUCAAAUACAGCUAAGGUAAUAUAUGCCUGAGGUAGAAAAUCCAGAGUAUUUAAAAAAAUUCAAAAUGUGUGGACAGGAAAUUUAUAAAUAUUACCAUAUCAAUGACAAAUCAUGUCAGCACAGUGCUGACUACAGCCUGUACCCUUGGGGAAAUAAAUCUCCAACAGCAGUGGCAUCGAACCAGUGGUUGUAAAUAAACUCAUCAUAUAUACCAGGACUAAAUUUAGUAUAUACGCCAGACGCGUGUUUCUUCUGCAAAAGACUUAUCAGUGUCGCUCGAAUCCGAAAAAGUUAAAAAGUCUAAAAAUAGUAUGAAGUUGAAGAGCAUAGAGAACCA